rnacentral:piRNA from 1 species
UAGCCUCUGUGUCUUGACAUGCAUGCUCAGU